GUCCACGCCCUAAACGAUGUCUACUAGUUGUUGGUGGAGUAAAAUCCAUGAGUAACGCAGCUAACGCGUGAAGUAGACCGCCUGGGGAGUACGGUCGCAAGAUUAAAACUCAAAUGAAUUGACGGGGGCCCGCACAAGCGGUGGAUUAUGUGGAUUAAUUCGAUGCAACGCGAAAACCUUACCUGGCCUUGACAUGUAACGAACUUUCCAGAGAUGGAUUGGUGCUCGAAAGAGAACGUUAACACAGGUGCUGCAUGGCUGUCGU
rnacentral:rRNA from 1 species